rfam:Aedes albopictus isolate Foshan contig120444, whole genome shotgun sequence.
CAAACGGCCCUUCUAGGGGCCACAGAAUGUUUGCAAAGAGUUAUAA